rnacentral:lncRNA from 1 species
UUAUUGAGAUUAACCCCGCGAAACUUUUAUUUGACAAUUAUUUAAAAUAAUGAAGGAGAACUCAAGAACUCUAGGAAGUUUUGAUCGAAGAAAUAACUCCUCCUUUCACGUGUAAAAGUAUGUAUGGAAUUUACAGAUUUCCGGCAGUGAUAUAAUAGAGCCGUUGGUACUAUGCACAACAAAAGAGGGAAAACCUGAAAAAAGUGAGGUUAGUUUGUUUUGACCGCUCUUCCUUCAAAUUCGUCGCAAUUUGACAUUUUGUUUACCCAUGAAUAUUUCGUGAUCUUUCCGUUAUGAAGGGUUCAGAGGAAACGAAACUUUCAACAUCUCCAACAUCGAAACGAAUCAAGCUCAAUAUGAAAUCUAACGACCGCAAAUCUGCACUGUUGGAAGAGGACUUGAGUGAUAUGGGAGUAGAUUUAUUGUACCCAAAAGAUGAUGAUCCAGAUGCGCCAUUCUCUGCUGAUGAUUCCGAGAAUGAAUGCCCACCCUCCUGAAUUGAGUCAGGGAGCUGUGCUAAAAUCUUCAGAUUCCUCCUCUAGAGUAUUGAAGUGUCUUAAACCAAGUAAUGUUGAAGUAACGCCGGAUGAUUUUCUUCGCUUUCGUAAAAGAACCUCAGUAUCAAAUUUACUGGCAAAGGUGAGUUUUUUCCCUCUUU